GAGUCGUAGCAAAUACAAAUUAUAGGAGUGUGGAAGAGAAAGAGAAAGAUGGAAUGGAGAAAAUCUUAUGUUGAUGUGAUACUGGUGCCGCUGGGGUUUCUAGUGUUUUCCGGCUAUCAUGCUUGGCUUUGGUACAAGAUUCGCACGCAGCCCCUCACCACCAUCAUCGGCUUAAAUGCCUCGGCUCGACGUUCAUGGAUCUCGACAAUGCUUAAGGACAUUGACAAGAGAAACAUCCUAACCGUCCAAGCUCUGCGGAACAAUAUAAUGGGGUCGACCCUGAUGGCUACUACAUUAAUCCUUCUGAGUGCAGGGUUGGCAGCAGUAAUUAGUAGCACAGCAGUGUCAAAAAACCGCUGAACGACAUCGUUUUCGGUGCUCAUGGGGAAUUUAUGGUGGCACUCAAAUAUGCAACACUAUUAACUACUUUCAUGCUGUCUUUUUUCUGCCAUACUCUGUCAAUUCUGUUUCUGAACGAGGUGAGCAUCCUCAUAGGCAGUUCACCUCCAGCAGCAGCUAUGGAUGAACUCACCUGGCAUGACUACUUAUUGUCACGGACUUACAACUCACAUGGAAGACCGGGUGAAGUUUGA